AGUCGAACGAUGAAACUUAGUAGACUUCUUCGGAAUGACACUAAGCGAAUUAGUGGCGAACGGGUGAGUAACGCGUGAGUAACCUGCCUUACACAAGGGGAUAGCCUUUGGAAACGAAGAAUAAUACCCUAUAAAACUAUAAAAGCACAUGCUAGAAUGGUCAAAGUGCUAGCGGUGUAAGAUGGACUUGCGUCUGAUUAGCUAGUUGGUGAGAUAAAAGCUCACCAAGGCAACGAUCAGUAGCCGGCUUGAGAGAGUGUACGGCCACAUUGGGACUGAGACACGGCCCAGACUCCUACGGGAGGCAGCAGUGGGGAAUUUUGCACAAUGGGGGAAACCCUGAUGCAGCGACGCCGCGUGAUUUAGAAGGCCUUCGGGUUGUAAAAAUCUUUUGUAUAGGAAGAAAAUGACAGUACUAUACGAAUAAGGUCCGGCUAAUUACGUGCCAGCAGCCGCGGUAAUACGUAAGGACCGAGCGUUGUCCGGAAUCAUUGGGCGUAAAGGGUACGUAGGCGGCUAGAAAAGUUAGAGGUCAAAGGCUAUAGCUCAACUAUAGUAAGCUUCUAAAACUAUUUAGCUUGAGAAAUGGAAGGGAAAGUGGAAUUCCUAGUGUAGCGGUGGAAUGCGCAGAUAUUAGGAAGAAUACCGGUGGCGAAGGCGACUUUCUGGCCAUUAUCUGACGCUGAGGUACGAAAGCGUGGGUAGCAAACAGGAUUA
rnacentral:rRNA from 2 species